CCUACGGGGGGCUGCAGUGAGGAAUAUUGGUCAAUGGACGAGAGUCUGAACCAGCCAAGUAGCGUGAAGGAUGACUGCCCUAUGGGUUGUAAACUUCUUUUAUAAAGGAAUAAAACGAGGCACGUGUGCCUUUUUGCAUGUACUUUAUGAAUAAGGAUCGGCUAACUCCGUGCCAGCAGCCGCGGUAAUACGGAGGAUCCGAGCGUUAUCCGGAUUUAUUGGGUUUAAAGGGAGCGUAGAUGGGUUGUUAAGUCAGUUGUGAAAGUUUGCGGCUCAACCGUAAAAUUGCAAUUGAAACUGGCAGUCGUGAGUACAGUUGAGGUAGGCGGAAUUCGUGGUGUAGCGGUGAAAUGCUUAGAUAUCACGAAGAACCCCGAUUGCGAAGGCAGCUUACUAAACUGUGACUGACAUUGAUGCUCGAAAGUGUGGGUAUCAAACAGGAUUAGAUACCCUUGUAGUC
rnacentral:rRNA from 1 species